AUGCGGCAGUAUUGGUGGGGAGUGGAGAAAGGAAAAAGAAAAAUGGCAUGGUUGAGUUGGGAUAAAAUGAGACUUCCAAAGUCUAAGGGUGGUAUGGGUUUCCGUGAUAUGAGAGCCUUCAACCAAGCGCUGCUCGCCAAGUAGGCUUGGCGUCUACUUGAUACCCCGGAUAGUUUGUGUGCUUGUUUGCUAUCUGCGAAGUAUUACCCUCAUGGAAACCUGCUGGAUACAGUCUUUACAGGAAAUUCUUCGGCUGUGUGGAAGGGAAUUGAACAUGGUCUGGAGCUGGAUAAAAAAGGAAUCAUUUGGCGGGUUGGAGACGGUGCACUGAUACGUACAUGGCGGGAUCCAUGGAUACCCCGUGGCCAUAAUCUCCGACCAGUCACACUCAAAAGGAAUUGUCAUUUCAACCGGGUGUCUGAUUUUCUUGAUGAUAAUGGUGCUUGGAUGGUGCAAUGA
rnacentral:rRNA from 1 species